GACGAACGCUGGCGGCGUGCUUAACACAUGCAAGUCGAACGGAAAGGCCCUGCUUUUGUGGGGUGCUCGAGUGGCGAACGGGUGAGUAACACGUGAGUAACCUGCCCUUGACUUUGGGAUGACUUCAGGAAACUGGGGCUAAUACCGGAUAGGAGCUCCUGCUGCAUGGUGGGGGUUGGAAAGUUUCGGCGGUUGGGGAUGGACUCGCGGCUUAUCAGCUUGUUGGUGGGGUAGUGGCUUACCAAGGCUUUGACGGGUAGCCGGCCUGAGAGGGUGACCGGCCACAUUGGGACUGAGAGACGGCCCAGACUCCUACGGGCGGCAGCAGUGGGGAAUAUUGCACAAUGGGCGGAAGCCUGAUGCAGCAACGCCGCGUGCGGGAUGACGGCCUUCGGGUUGUAAACCGCUUUCGCCUGUGACGAAGCGUGAGUGACGGUAAUGGGUAAAGAAGCACCGGCUAACUACGUG
rnacentral:rRNA from 1 species